rnacentral:rRNA from 1 species
AUUCCUUGUCGGGUAAGUUCCGACCCGCACGAAAGGCGCAACGAUCUGGGCACUGUCUCAACGAGAGACUCGGUGAAUUAUAGUACCUGUGAAGAUGCAGGUUACCCGCGACAGGACGGAAAGACCCGUGGAGCUUUACUGCAGCCUGAUAUUGAAUGUUGGUACAGCUUGUACAGGAUAGGUAGGAGCCUUGGAAACCGGA